rnacentral:lncRNA from 1 species
CGCUCAUCCCACCAUGUCUGCACUGCACAACCCCACAAACCUUUCCAGGUUUGGAAAGGUUUCCAGGGCUCCUGCACAUCUCAGGCUGGGGGCAGAGGGAGCAACAGCCGUUGCGUCAGGGCUGUUGCCUGGAGACAGGCGAGCUAUUCCAGUUCGAGCUUUUCAGCGCCGAUUUCCUCUCUCUCUUUCAUUCAUACCACCAAGCCCUGAACCUACCUCCCACCAAGCAAUAACCCUGGAGAGACCUGAAAGGGAGGAGCUGCACAGCCCGGGUCCUAAACAUCCUCCGGCACCCAGGAGAGGGAGGAAGAUCGGCGAUGCUUUCGGCUUGGAGAGCAGGGAUGGAGCGGUCCAGUGGAGGACAGGUACCCUCAAGGCUUGCAGGAGAUGCCCGGAGAGCUGCGGUGCUCCCGAAGGAAUCUGUGGCUCUUCCCGACACCAACCUGCUGGUGUCCCCAUGCAGAUCGUGUUUCUUUCCAUGGAUAUCAGCCCCACGAGGAGUUUGGACUCAUCUGCCAUUCAGGAGAGCUUUGGGAUAAGGUUUUCCAGGUGCCACAGCUUGCCCACUGCGUGUGCCGAGGGGAAUUUUGCAAGGAUGCAUCAGCACCUCUAGGAAGCCCCAGGGUGGUGCCUCGGGGCUCCCUGGCUGGUACCAUCCAUCCCCUGGCAGAAACCAGCUUAGGAACCAGCCUGCGCCUGAAUUUUGUGCUGGGGAAGCUCCUGUUGCUUCCGCAGCUGCCCCAGCGGGGCUGGAAACCAUUUUAGCUGCCUCCGAGGAGGGACUGAGGGAGGCAGCGCCCCGGCUGAGUGGGGUCCAGAAUCAAAGGCAGGGGACAGAGGGGAUUUCCUUCCUUCAUCAGAACUUGGAGGUUAACCCCUCAAAGCCUGGGGGCCGCUCUCCAAAGCAUCCCACACAUCACACAUCUGAGGGCUCAGAGCCACUGCCCGCGUUUGCAAAGCUGGUGCUGCGAAGGGUUAAGCCUUGGCCAGCGACCCCCAACCAGCCAGGCCCCUUCCCCCAUUCCCACAUUCAGCUUUUGUGAGAGAAACCCCUUCACAGCCUUUUUAUUCCUUUUUUAUUCACCCUUCCCUUUUCCUGCCUGAUCCAUCCCCUCUCCACCCCCCGAAGGGCAAGAGGGAGAUUUACAGCCCCUUCCUGAGCUCCAGCAUGGAAGGGCUGGGGUUUCCCACCUCCCUUCGAGUGCCAGGGGUGCCCCAGACCCCACAGUAAUUUACAGGCUGUGCCUGAACAGGGUUUGGAAGUCUGGAGUGCAAAGAAAGAGGGUGCCCUGGAUGCAGCAAUGCAGAUUCAGAAUGAACAACAGCAUUUUCACAUUUCUGAUGAAAAUGCAAAUUUUUUUUCAAUUUUUUUUUUUUUUUUUUUUUUUUUUUGCCCGCAUCCUUUUUUGUCAGAUUUCAGAUCUGCAUAUGCAAACUCAGCCUGGUGAUCAGCUCUCACUGUGCUGUAAGGAGGCACCUGAAGGCUGAUGAUGAUGGAGAGGCACCAAGGGAGAUUGAAGAGCUGUUGGCUGCAUUUUAAAACUGUCUGACAAAGACCUGCAGGAGCAUUUAGCAGCCAAAGGAAUCCCAGAAGCCCAAGAGGGGUCAGGUUGGAAGGGAUCACAGUAGGUCAACUGUGCAGCCUCCCUGCUGCAGCAGGGCCAUCCCGGAGCACAGGACACAGGGUUGUGUCCAGAUAAUUCUGGAAUAUCCCCACUGAGGGAGACUCCACUCCCUCUCUGGACAAUCUGUUCAGUGCUCAGUCACUGCACAGGAAAGUUCAUCCUCAUGUCCAGGUGGAAAUUCCUGGGCAUCCAUUCCUGCCCAUUCCUGUUUAUCCUGCUGCUGGGUCCCACAGAGCAGAGCCUGAUCCAUCAAUCAUGUAGAGGUUUAAUGUUUUCAGCAACAUCUCAUCCAAAUCAAAACCGAUUCUGUGCCCAUGAACCAAGCAGCACCAGGGAACAGGCAGGCACAGGGUGAAACAGCCCCUGGCCCAGUUUUGGUGUGGGAUGAGCAAUCCCAGGACAUGGCUUAGGAAUGACCAAGACUGGUGCCCCUUCCAGACAAAUAAUUUGGAUUCAGCCACCCAGAUUUGAUAGCCAGGAGCAUUGAAUCACAGGGACAUGGCCAGACUGGGUCAGUCAGCCUCAGGGCCAGAGCCCAGGCCUAGCAGGGUGAGUUUACAGCAGAGGUGUUGCUCCCAAGGCUGGAUGUCUGUCUGUCUGUCUGCCUGUCUCCUUGCAGGAACAGACCACACACUGUCACCCUCUCCUUCUUCUGUAAAUGUUUAUUUUUAAUUCGGUUGCGUAAUGGAUUUCAAAUGAGCUGCCAUAAGAUAGCAGUGAAAGGCUGCAGCCACAUCUCUCUGAAGCCAGUCCAUGAGUUUGAAUGUUUUUUGGCCUGGAUUUAUCUUGGAUAAGUUGUGUUCAUCCAAAAAAACACUGGUGGGGAGCUGCUGAGGAGGAGUGGUGCUCCCACUGGUGAUGCUCUAACACCAGCCACCUGCAAUGGACACCUGAAAUAAGGUGUGAUCAGUCAAAAUAAACCUGUGCAACACCAGCA